rnacentral:rRNA from 1 species
ACUCCUACGGGAGGCAGCAGUGGGGAAUAUUGGACAAUGGGCGCAAGCCUGAUCCAGCCAUGCCGCGUGAGUGAUGAAGGCCCUAGGGUUGUAAAGCUCUUUCACCGGUGAAGAUAAUGACGGUAACCGGAGAAGAAGCCCCGGCUAACUUCGUGCCAGCAGCCGGGGUAAUACGAAGGGGGCUAGCGUUGUUCGGAUUUACUGGGCGUAAAGCGCACGUAGGCGGACUAUUAAGUCAGGGGUGAAAUCCCGGGGCUCAACCCCGGAACUGCCUUUGAUACUGGUAGUCUUGAGUUCGAGAGAGGUGAGUGGAAUUCCGAGUGUAGAGGUGAAAUUCGUAGAUAUUCGGAGGAACACCAGUGGCGAAGGCGGCUCACUGGCUCGAUACUGACGCUGAGGUGCGAAAGCGUGGGGAGCAAACAGGAUUAGAUACCCCAGUAGUCCCAUG